rnacentral:misc_RNA from 1 species
GUAGGUGAACCUGCGGAAGGAUCAUUAACACGUAUCCAACGUUAAAAAACCCUGUGCACCUUCAUCCCUGGUAAGCGAACGUCUCUAGCGCACCAGCUGUAAUAUGGCCUGGCACCUUUAAGCAAACAAUGUUCUGUCAGUGUGCGUUGUUUGUGGAUGGUGGCGCAGUAAACGAUCGUUGGAGGCCGACACGGCCGACGACCGGGUCAUCGAGCUCACGCUCCCUUAUAACCACUUAUCAACCACUUCUGCGCUCCUCGGUAAUUCGAGGUGUAGUUAAAAUUAAUACAACUGUUAACAAUGGAUAUCUUGGUUCUC